rnacentral:rRNA from 1 species
CCUACGGGAGGCAGCAGUAGGGAAUCUUCCACAAUGGGCGAAAGCCUGAUGGAGCAACGCCGCGUGAGUGAUGAAGGCCUUCGGGUUGUAAAACUCUGUCAUUCGGGACGAACCGGAGUCUGAGGAAAUGCAGACUCUCUGACGGUACCGGAGGAGGAAGCCCCGGCUAACUACGUGCCAGCAGCCGCGGUAAUACGUAGGGGGCAAGCGUUGUCCGGAUUCACUGGGCGUAAAGCGCGCGCAGGCGGUGAUGUAAGUCUGAGGUGAAAACCCGAAGCUCAACUUCGGGACUGCCUUGGAUACUGCGUCACUUGAGGAUAGGAGAGGCAAGGGGAAUUCCACGUGUAGCGGUGAAAUGCGUAGAGAUGUGGAGGAACACCUGUGGCGAAGGCGCCUUGCUGGCCUAUUUCUGACGCUGAGGCGCGAAAGCGUGGGGAGCAAACAGGAUUAGAUACCCUGGUAGUCCACGCUGUAAACGAUGAGUGCUAGGUGUAGGUGGGCUCAUACCCAUCUGUGCCGAAGCUGACGCAUUAAGCACUCCGCCCUGGGGAGUACGGUCGCGAGACGAGAACGACGAAGAAGUAGACGGACGNGAGGAGNGCCGAGGCGACGACGAGGGGAGUAGG